UAUUAGAGUAAAUUUAAUUUAAUUUUAGAAAUAUUCCAUUUUUUGAAAAAAAAUAGAAUUUUACAUUGAAAUGAUCUAAAAGACUCCACUUUUGUGAAUUUUUUGAAGACGAUGAAAUAUGUUUUAUUUUCCAUAGGUACAUAAUAAUAUAUUUUAAGGAAAUAUUGAAUAAAUGAUAGGAACUAGGGAGGAAGAAUAUUUAGAAAGAUGAGCCAUAUUAAUUUCGAAAUUCAAAUGUAUACUACUGGCAGUGACAUAACCCCACCAACAUGCCUUGCUUUUUCUCUUACAAACCUCAUAAAUACUAAAUUGAAUGCUCAUGGGAAAAUCGUUUAUUUCGUCGGCUACAAAUGAAUUAGUUAACUUCAUGCCAUGGACUUCAUUAAUAGUAGUAUUUGGAAAACCAAUUAAGGGUCCGAUUGGGGUUUGAACUUGAGUCUGUUGAGACUUUAACUUAAAUCUAAAAUCUUUAACGUCAAAUUAUUACCAAUCAAACUUUAGAGCUUCUUUUAAAAUUCUUAAAAGCUAAAAUAACUGCAUUUGCUCUUUCCGUGGUCUUUUUUUCUUCUUAAAACCACUAUUUUAUGGUUUUUAAUAUUUCUAAGUCACAUUAAUUAUUUACCAGUCACAGUUUAAAGUUUUAACAGUCAAAAUUAAUUUGAAAGCUUCAACAGCAACAGUUUUGAUUCAUUUUUUAUGAUAAAAUACUAACAGUGCAUCUUUUAUGUUUUUUUUUGUCACUGACGCUGUAUGAUUUUUUUCAUCUUUUGUGUUUAAAUACUAACAAUAACAUUGAUUUGGUUAGAAGAGUUUGAUUUGGUUAGGCCACUCCGCCAACAAACUCUUGUUCUUGACAAUCAUAUGAGAUUAUUUUCAUUAAUUUAUAUCAUCGCUUGGAAAGUAUAUAUACUAUAAAAAUAUUUAAAAUUUAAUCAGAACACAUAUAAAUACUCUUUUCAAAAAAGUUUCCUAUAUAAACAAAUUUUUUUUGGAGCAAUUCCUAUAGAAACAAUUCAAAUUUAAUAAACCAACCUCCUUUUUGGUAUGGGGUUGUUGGUCUAAUUUAAUGCUAGUGACUCUCUUCUUCAACCAUCUUCAUAUUUAGAUCUUGUUCUUCACUUUGCAGUCUCAUAGACUUUGCAAAUAGCCACCUUCUUUUCUCUCCUCUGAUUCUUCUACUUAGUUCUUUUAUUUUGGACGUUGCUAAAAAUAAGAGUUCUGCGCGGAUCCGAUGAUCUUCACCGAGUGAUAGAGCUCAAGGUACUCAAGUGCAGGACGAUUCCAUGACCAGUCUUGCUUCAUCAGUGAUUUAAACCACUCUCUAUACUUAAAGCAAUGCUCCAAUCAACGAUAGUACAAUUAUCCUUACACCUGUUGAGUACUAAUUACUGAAACGCUAAUACUGUAGGCUUUGUAGCACACCAAACUUGUAGACAUGCAUGGAGUCAUAUAGAAUAUAUUCGAAGAAUAUACUUUUGUUUGUGUGUUUAGCAUAGUUUUAAGAUGUUGGGUCUAAGUCCAAUUUGGGCCCCAUGAUAUCAGUAUAUUCACAUUUCAACUCACCUCUAUAAACAAUUGAUGUCUUCUAUUUAUUCUCUAUCGUUACCCAUUGGGUAUAGUGAAAUCAAAUGACCUGGCUAAACAGUGGCCUCACAUUUCCUUUAAUAUCCAAAUUUUUGGGUAUAGAAGGCAAAGGAAAUUCUGUUUAACUAGAAGCCUUGUGCGUGGAUCAUGAUUUUUUGGAAGGAAAUGGGAGGUGUAGACUUGUUUGUGGAAGAGUCUUAUUGUAGGUCUUUUGUUUGUACCUUAACUGGAUGAUUGAUCUUUUAUGAUCUUGGAAUGAAAUUCAUAGAUGACAAAAAAAAAAAAAAUCAAAUGGAUUCUUCAAGGUAAUUCCCAAGUUAGUCUCGUUCACACCGUAUCUCAAGUUAUUUUGAUAGGUUAUCCACUAUUCUAAUACUUCAGUUCAAAGAUGUUUAAUUUUCAAGUUUUUUUCUAUACAAAAAAUUAAACAGAUUGGUGUUAUUUGAUGACAUAAAUAGUCAAUUGAAUUGUUUUAAUCUUUUUCGUAUGCAUCACGAUAUUCCAGAAGUAGAAAUGUUACGGAUAUGCUUCAUUUUCAUUGUCGAUAUUGUAGUUGGAGUUGUUAUUUCUUUUAGAUUAAUAUUGGAUAAACUAUGUUGGGAUAUAAUUAAUAAUAUGCAAGUUACGUGUUA